AAGGUAUUAGUUCAAAUGGUAGAGCAAUGUGCAUGUACAUGGUGUGGGUUCAAGUCCCAUAUAGCCUA
rnacentral:tRNA from 1 species